rnacentral:rRNA from 1 species
UACGAAGGGGGCUAGCGUUGUUCGGAUUUACUGGGCGUAAAGCGCACGUAGGCGGGUCGUUAAGUCAGGGGUGAAAUCCCGGAGCUCAACUCCGGAACUGCCUUUGAUACUGGCGACCUUGAGGCUGGAAGAGGUUAGUGGAAUUCCCAGUGUAGAGGUGAAAUUCGUAGAUAUUGGGAAGAACACCGGUGGCGAAGGCGGCUCACUGGCCCGUAACUGACGCUCAUGCACGACAGCGUGGGGAUCAAACAGG